UCAGCUCCAUUCGUUCCCCGCCAUCGCGCGUGCUUUGUUUUCCUCCGAAAUCAUAGCUGCCCCGCCAUCACGCGCUUUGUUUUCCUCCGAAAUCACAGCUGCUCCGUCGCGAACCCAUCCUUCCAUUCCUCACCCCUCCAGGCCCCAAAUCCUGCACCUCCCUCCCCGAGCUCCUGCGCUCCUCCGAGCAGGGUCUUCUCGUCAUCUAUCUCGCCGCCCUACGCACUGCCACCGCGCCCGUCAUCCAUCUCACCGCCCCCAUUGCGCCGCCGCUGCCGCCCCCGUCAUCUCGCCGCCUCCUUCCCAAUCCCCAUCCUCGCUGCCCUCCGCCUCCUCCGUCCGGCCAUCUACUCCCGCGCCGUCUGUCGUCGCCGCCGUGGCCGACCGAAAGCGGAAGCGGGCCACCGCCACCAAGACCGCCUCCCUCAAGAACCAGAUCCGCUCCACAGAGCGCUUCCUCCGCAAGAUGACGUUAGGAUUGCUCAAGAGAAGAAACUUGAAGAACUGAAGAGGCAGCAAGAGCUUCAGAAUCAAGUGGCUCUUCAACGGAUAGUACAGCAAGAGCUUCAGAUUGAAGAGCUAUGGUGAGGGGUAAAUUUAUCUCUACUAACAGAAGGGAAGACCCAAUGUGACGAAAUGCUAGAAAACUUAACUGUGCAAACUUUAAAUGAGGAGGUGGAUGGAGCUGCUCAAAGAGCAGAAACAGAGAAUGUCGAAUGAAAUACAUGGAGCAGUUCUGCAAGCACAAGCUGUGGGCUUCAUGGCAGGUCGAUUAGGUUGCUACAUGAAGCAUGGCAAGAAAAAUGACAGCAUAUGGUGCUGUAAUCGCUCUGGGUAUUGAAUGGAAUUACCGGCAAGCGUGUAUUAUUCAUCUUGUGAGAACCAGAAGCUUUUCAUUACCUUCUAGAUGCCACCUUGUUAAUAUUCAGAUUGAAGUCAAUAUCUUUGCUCCAUAUGCUUCUUUUUUCCAACGAAAAAAUGGCCUGUACUAUUUUAAAUUAGCCUGAUUUUUCCCAUAUGCUUGGUUCUAAUAGCUGUGCCAAUUGACUUAUGAUAGCUAUGCAGGAAGGCUCUUCCAAUUUGAUUAAUUCAUGAUGUGUUUGCAAUGUAGGAAGGAAGAUGGAUAGCUAGAUGAACUGUGCUGCUUCAGUAAUGCUUCUCUAAAAAUUCAAUAUGGUGUGUUUGUGCAGCUUGUCAAAUAUUGGUCUAUAGCUGAUUGCCGAUUGCCAUGGUCGCACCAAUGUUUUGCUGCUGCUGUCCAGGUCCAGAUAGCAACAUACUUCCAGCCUCUGGUCAGUUGUUUGACGCAUCGAGAAUCAUGAGAUUUCCAUGUCCAAGAUGCCAAAGUAGAAAUUGAAUUCUUUUGUAAAAUCUAUUUCUAAACAUUUUUGUCUUCUAAUGGUUCCCGGAUUGGUUAAUUGGCUAAAGGAUACGACCAAUUUUUGCAGUGUUUCAGGUUAGAAAGGGAUUGCUCAAGGAUGAUAUGCCUCAUUAGAAGUUUGCACUUCACCACCGUUGGCUCCAUGUUGUGAGCGUCAGUUAAAACAUGCUGCAGAUAUACAAAUGUACAAUGUUCAGGUUGACCCAGAAUCUAGUUUAGUCAUAGCUGAAUGAAAUUUGAGCCUACAAUUGCUACGAUACUAUAUUUCCUUUUUUAGUUCAUAAAGAAAUAGCACUUUGAUAUCAUAUUGAGGCUAGCAAGCUUGUUUUCGUUAACUAUUGUUUUGCCCGUGGCAACGCACAUGCACGUCCUAGUUAAAAUGUAAAAAGCUUUUGGAUAGAGGAA